UUACGUUCGAAAAACUUGGUUUCUCGAACAAAACUAUGAUUUUAGGUCAUUAUCCUAUGUUCACGAGCUUGAACCUGUGUUUACCGUCGUAAACCCAUGUUCACUGUCGUAAACGUAAGUUCUCGAUCGUUAACAUAUGGUUUACACUCGUGAACCCUGGUCUACUCCCGUAAACAUUUUGCAUUUAUUCAUUAGUUUACAAAGUUUGGAAGAAAUGUAGGUAGGUAGGUUUCACUUCUGCCCUAUGGUUCUUCAUGAAUGCAGAGAGCAAGGCCAUGAUUUUUAAGAAUUGGAGCUUAAUUUCUGUCUGAUUAAAUCCUUAUACUCGAGGCUCCCCAGAAAAAUUGUUAUCGACAAUUUUAUUUUGUGUUUUAUAAUUGUUACGCAAUACUUUGAGGUUUCAUUUAGAAAAAUAUUUGGUAAAAUGAAUUCUGUGCGAUUGUUUUGCGCAAUGGCUAUAGCAUUGAAAUUUGUCUCUGUUUCAGCUGGCGGAAAAAAAGACAUAAUUUAUACACAAUGUACAAAGAAAAAAAACCCAAACAAACAACAACACGGUAAAAGUCGUUUAAAGAUGAAUUACAGUGCGAAAAUGUAUUAACUUCAGGACUGUAUCAAGUUAAUGCAAUUGUUAAACAUUACCAAUACGGGUCCGCUAUCUUAAUAUAACCUGAAAAAAGUUGGAAAUGUGUCUUUAAGCAAAACUCGCUUACAUCUACGCCCCCACCCUUUAAGCAAAUAAUUGGUGACAAAGCACAUUUUACAUUAUAUCUUUCAGUAUUCGUCAGAAUAUUUAAAACGAAUUUAGUGUAAAAAUAGCCUUAAAAAGGUAUAAUACAUGUGGUCAAUUGUUUCUUCUCCAUUACUGUGUCAAUUCUAUGCAGCGAUUACGUCCCAUAGUACCUACAGCAAAUGAUCUGAAAGAAUAGACUCUUAAAACUUAGGCCCUAAAUAUCAGACCUGACAUAACUCAUAUCACUUUAUGUUCAUUUUAAUUGAUAUUUCUUAUUUUCCAUGUUAUGUCGGGUCGUCGAAUAAUGCGCAGUACGACUCAUAUCGAUGGUUGUUUCUCGGAACCAGCGGUUUUUAGUUAGCUACUUAUAGACAGGGGUCAUAAUAUAUAACGAAGCGGUCAACAGUGUUGAGUUACAAAAAGUUCCAUUCAUACGGACAUUUCAUUCAUAGAGGCAAAUUAAUUUACAGCCAUUAUGUAAUAUUUUCUAAUGUUAUCUUUGAAGUAUUUACAAUUAGAAAAAUAAAACAUUAUUAUAAUAUGUUUGAGCAAAUAGAUCUAUUGAAACAGGUAAGUUUAACAAUCUUUAUACAACUCUAUGGCAAAACUGAUAAACAUGGCGGACUAUUUGAAUUGCGCAUGAAAUUAUAUUUUGUAUUGUCAGUCUCAGCACCUGUUGAACAUUGUGGAAACUCGAUAUAAAUUAUGGUUAUAAUAGUCUGGCGAAUAUCACCAGCCUAAAAUCCCCACUCACGCAGUGAUUACCUCCCCUUACCAUACAAACUCUUUGAAACCAUCCAGAGUAUCCAACUGUAGCACUCCUUAGCAAAAAGAACUAUAUUUUUUGAGCUAUGAGCAUAUUACAAACAAUAAAAUCCACUAUUUUGGCUAUUUCAAGGGCCAUAACUCUGUAAUAAGCGCUAAGAUUCUUAAGAAGAAUGCAAAGUGCACGGUAAUGUUAUGAUAAAGAAUCUAGCAAAGUUUCAUGAAUUUACAUCAAAUACUUCUACAGCUGGGCACAUAAUAGGUGAAAAUAUGCAUAUUUUAACUAUUUCAGGGGCCAUAACUUAGAAACAGGGAAAGAAGCCAGCCAAAAAAUAAGAACUGUGCAAGUUUAUAUCAUGAUAAAGACUCAUGCCAGUUUUCAUCCAUCUAUAUCAUAUGCUUUUUGAGCUAGGUGCAUCACAAGGUGAAAAUGUUCAUUUUUGACUAUUUCAGGGGCCAUAAUUCUGAAAAUAGGGAGCAGAGGCAGAUAAAAAAUAAGAUAUGCGCAAGUUCAUAUCAUGAUAAAAACUCGUGCAAGGUUUAAUCAAUUUAUAUUAAACAUUUUUUUAGUUAGGCGUGUCACAAGGUGAAAAUGUGCAUUUUUGACUAUUUCUGGGGCCAUAACUCUGAAUAUAGGGGGCUGACCCAGAUGAAAAAUAGGAGAUGCGCAAGUUCAUAUCAUGAUAAAGACUCAUUUAAAGUUUGAUAAAUUUAUAUUGAAUACUUUUUGAGCUAGGCACGUCACAAGGUGAAAAUAUGCAUUUUUUACUAUUUCAGGGGUCAUAACACUGAAAAUAGGGGGUAGACCCAGAUGAAAAAUAGAGGAUGCACAAGUUCAUAUCAUGAUUAAGAAUCAUGCAAGGUUUCAUGAAUCUACAUCAAAUACCUAUUGAACUAAGCAUGUCACAAGGUGAAAAUGUGCAUUUUUGACUAUUUCAUGGGCCAUAACUCUGGAAAUAGAGGGUGACGAAAAAUAGGAGGUGCACAAGUUCAUAUCAUGAUAAAGACUCUUGCAAGGUUUCAUCAAUUUAUAUCAAGUACUUUUUGAACUAGGCUCGUCACAAAUUUUGGGACGCACGCACGGACAAGACCAAUUCUAUAUGCCCCAACCACUCAUUGGGCGUGUGGGGUGGGGAGGGGGUCACAAAAACAUCCAAAUAUUAUUAAAUGAUGACUGAAAACAUUAAUUUCCAAAUACUUUUAUAGUUUAUAAUAAACAUUAGAAGUUGACAUAAUAACUGGAUGAAUAGAACACUUCUAAAACUGAAUUUAUUAUGUUUGGCAGCAGACCUCAAUUGACCAAAUGUUUUACAAAUUCCAUUAACAUUGCUGGUGAUGAUGUCAAACAUGAAUUUAGCACAAUUAGAUUAUCUCGGUGCAUUUCUUGAUGAAACCUUGAACUUUAAAGAUCACAUAGAUCGCAAAUGUCGUCGGCCAUAUUGAAUUACCUACAGUUAAGAACAUCUGAAAAUACUUAACAAAAGCAGCCACUGAAAUUUUAGUUUUGUCUCUAGUUAUUUCACAUCUGGAUUAUUGCAAUGUCAUACAGUAUGGUGUAGCUAACUAUGAAGUGCGUAAGAUGCAACGUAUUCAAAACGUGUGCGCAAAACUUGUCCUUAACAGGAGGAACAUGAGGAAAGGACAACGUUCACUUAAGCCUUAUAUGGCCUAAGUAAUUUUGAAAAUUUUCAAAUUGGCUAAAAUUUGAAACAUUAUCAAUUGUUUGCUACCAGAUUUUUUAUCUACUGUAAGGAAUUAAGUUUUUUGUAAACAGAUUUAUUAUUUUGUUCAACACAUAUCACUGAACAUUGCUGAAAUCGCAAAUUUUUAAGAAAAUGGGCAUUUUUUGCCAUAUUUAGGUCACAUAGGAAUAUUUUUAGUAGUGAGCACACUCAAGGACCACAAAAAUAUUUUGACCCUAGGUCCAGCUUCUUUCACAGAAUUUAUGGUCAUUUUUUGAUUGUGGUCAACAGCUGUGCUCAUAGUGAAAAUUUCAUAUUUGUUUAAAAAUUCGGUUAAAAUGCGAAGGUUUCCCAUACCCAUAAUGGUAAACCUAUUUUCAGUUAUGUCAAAUAUUUUCUUCUAUAAUGAAUAUAUUGUAAAUUAUUUCGAACAGUUUGAUAAAAGAAUACUUCUUGAUGAAAGAAAACAUGUUCUUUACUCCAUUUGGAAACGUUCAGUUUUUAGGCCAUUUUGAGGCAAAAGUGAACCAUCUCCAAAGUUUGACAGUUCUAACCAAGCAUUGUACCACUUACAUUGGUUGCUGGUGAAAGCAAGAAUUGAGUUCAAGCUACUCUCUUUCAUGUAUAGCUGUCACACUGGCAGAGCACCUCUGUACUUAACAGAAUUGCUUACCGAGUAUAUUCCUCGUAGACAAGGUUUGAGAUCGUCUGAAAAUUCUGAAUGUCGUAAUGUUGUACCAUACAACAAGUGCAAAACAUUCAAUGAUAGAAGUUUCUGUACUAUUGGUCCAAAAAUUUGGAAUGAACUGCCAUUAGAACUAUACAAAAGUAAAUCACUUGACACAUUAAAAAAAAAAUCUUAAGACACUGUAUUUCAGAGAUUUCGCAGCAUUGUUUUUGUAGUAAAGUCAAGUUUCACUUUAUUUAAACUGAUAAAUGGAUUCACAGUCAUUUAUUUAUAGUCAGGUCGUAUAUCGAUGAUCAGUACUCCGUAUUCCGUUGUAUCAUGUUUGUACUCUGUGUUUCGUUGUAUCAUAUUGUAUCGUACUCCGUGUUUGUGUUAUCAUGUUCAGUCAUGUGUCCACUCGUGCAUUUGAACUUGUUUUGUAGAUAGGAGACGUUUUCAUUGGUCAGUUAUCUUCAUGCACAAAUAAUAACUUUUGGCGCAAACUAACAAUUGCACGGCCCUCUAUUCUUCAUUCUUGAGAAUCAUUGUCCGAGUGAACACAAGUUACUCUAGAACUAUUGUUAUACUGUAGUAAUUUAAUGUCCUUACCUUUGGACAAUUUACUAUGUCAUAAGUGUACCUUUGCUAGUCGAUUCUGGUAAGAUAUUUUCUUUAGUAUUUGUUCUUUUUAAAUGCAAUGAUAACUUAUUUACCGCGAGAGAUCUAUUUUGUGAAAUCUGUAUUUUUCACAUUCUGCUAUUGUUGUAUUGUAAUUCGUAUUUUCUACGUUCAUGAUUUUACUGUUUUAUGUUGUAGGUUUUUCUCUACACGUACUAUACUGGUACUGUCCAAUAAAUUGAAGAAACCUCAAAAUAGUUGUGUUAUACAAACUACCUUUACUACAUUUUAAAUAUUUGAUAACUGUUUAUCAUGCGAAAACAGCAGGUGUGGGCCAUUCCUCCAGUGAUGACAUUGAGAUCCUUCAGGAUGCUGUUCCUGGAGGCAAUUUCAAACCUGAGUGGACAGUGGACAACUUACAGUCAUAGCCAUAGACCUUGAAACUACAGACCUAAAUAAGAAUCGAUGUUUAGAUUGAUAAAUAUGUGGUUAUGUUAUGCCAUACAUCUCACAGCUAGCAGUAGUGGAGGUAGACCUUGGUACCCAGUUUGCAGUUUGUAGCAAACCCAAGAACAGCGGUUACAGCUGAAUUAAGCUCAAAAGGUGACUGGUAUAUGUGUUGAUGACAAUUGCGGUAUGUUUGUUAAUGGAAAACUGGAAGUGUGUAUUCAUAUUCAUAGUGUGCAGUUGGUUUGAACAGUUUUCAAAUGUUUGUCUUGUUGCACAUACUGGAAGGAGAUUUGACUUUCAAAUAGAUCUACUCAUGACAGCUGUAUUGAAAACCAAAACCAAAGAUGUUUUUCUCGGAUCAGAUCAGUAUCUGGCUUUCUGGACAUGUUGUUUGUCAGCUAGUGUUUAGGAAGAAAUUUCCAGGUCAGUUAAUGAAACAGGAGGACCAUGUAAGACAUCAUUUUAGUCUGACAUAUGACGCCCACAAUGCAGAAGCUGAUGUGGAGGCUCUUGGAUGUCCUCUUGGACUGUGUCAAGUUUUGGAUCUCCUGAACGUCAGUUUUUCUCCUGUGGCUUUGAAGUAUUCUUUACAGAUCAACAUUGAAAAGUUUAAAAUAUGUGAUUUUUUUAUCUGUUUGCAAGCAGCUGACAGUGAACAGUUUAUUGUAUGAGAUGGAGUGAACAUCAAACUUUACUGACCUGCCUUAAUAUUCAAAAAGGCCAAUAGGUCAGUAAAUUAAAUGUUGUGGUUCAUAGACUUGAAUAUUCACCAAUGAUAUCAUACAGUGUUUUAUUUUAUGACUACACUUAAAAAAAGAGAAAAUGUCCAUACACAGUUAUACUAAAAUGUAAUGAGGCUGCUGAUUGAAUUACAAGACAUGAUUGGGUGGAGUUUGACAGGUCUAUAUUUCUUACAGCGUGAAAGUUUGUUUUGAGGAAUAGUUGCUCCUUCAGGUUUGAUUACAAGACUGACACUUUUUGCAGCGAAUAUCACUUUCUAUGGACCUCCAUCUGACCAGUUAUUGUGUAAUUUAUGAGUCAUAAAAUAAAAGAAAAUAUUGCUGGCUCUGGUUUGAAUGGACAUCUGAAAACUAUAUUUAGGCAGUCAGGUGAAGAUGGACUUAGAGAUAUAUUUAAAGCUGAUAAUGAGAUGGAUUUAAAUGAGAUUCUAACAUGACCAGUUCCAUUUUCCUCUUAAACAAAGAAGGUUGAAAACUAUGUGUUAUUAUACAACAAUUCACUGUUCUGACAUCACAUUUAUUACGUAUAUCCACCUUUGUGAUAUAAUUCCUUCACAUCUGAACUCCAAACAUGUUUGUUAUUCAACGACAAAUUACUGAAUGAGAUAAAACAAGAGCUGUCUCCAUAGGAUGACACAUGCCCCUGAUGGCACUUUAAAUGAAUAGUUAUGGCCGAUGUUCGAGUUUAGGACCUUUGACCUACGGAGCUGGGUCUUGCGCGCGACACGUCGUCUUACUGUGUCACACAUUUAUGCAUAGUUAUUUUAAAAUCCAUGCAUGAAUGACAAAGAUAUGGACCUGACACGCCCAUCAAUGCACUAUCAUGAAAA